rnacentral:snRNA from 1 species
AGAAAGGUCAAGAAACUUCAGUUGAGG